rnacentral:rRNA from 1 species
UUAAGUUAUUAAGGGCGCACGGUGGAUGCCUUGGCACUAGAAGCCGAUGAAGGACGUUACUAACGACGAUAUGCUUUGGGGAGCUGUAAGUAAGCUUUGAUCCAGAGAUUUCCGAAUGGGGAAACCCAGCAUGAGUUAUGUCAUGUUAUCGAUAUGUGAAUACAUAGCAUAUCAGAAGGCACACCCGGAGAACUGAAACAUCUUAGUANNNNNNNNNNCCGGAGGAAGAGAAAGAAAAUUCGAUUCCCUUAGUAGCGGCGAGCGAAACGGGAAGAGCCCAAACCAACAAGCUUGCUUGUUGGGGUUGUAGGACACUCUAUACGGAGUUACAAAGGACGACAUUAGACGAAUCAUCUGGAAAGAUGAAUCAAAGAAGGUAAUAAUCCUGUAGUCGAAAAUGUUGUCUCUCUUGAGUGGAUCCUGAGUACGACGGAGCACGUGAAAUUCCGUCGGAAUCUGGGAGGACCAUCUCCUAAGGCUAAAUACUCUCUAGUGACCGAUAGUGAACCAGUACCGUGAGGGAAAGGUGAAAAGCACCCCGGAAGGGGAGUGAAAUAGAACCUGAAACCGUGUGCUUACAAGUAGUCAGAGCCCGUUAAUGGGUGAUGGCGUGCCUUUUGUAGAAUGAACCGGCGAGUUACGAUUUGAUGCAAGGUUAAGCAGUAAAUGUGGAGCCGUAGCGAAAGCGAGUCUGAAUAGGGCGUUUAGUAUUUGGUCGUAGACCCGAAACCAGGUGAUCUACCCUUGGUCAGGUUGAAGUUCAGGUAACACUGAAUGGAGGACCGAACCGACUUACGUUGAAAAGUGAGCGGAUGAACUGAGGGUAGCGGAGAAAUUCCAAUCGAACCUGGAGAUAGCUGGUUCUCUCCGAAAUAGCUUUAGGGCUAGCCUCAAGUGAUGAUUAUUGGAGGUAGAGCACUGUUUGGACGAGGGGCCCCUCUCGGGUUACCGAAUUCAGACAAACUCCGAAUGCCAAUUAAUUUAACUUGGGAGUCAGAACAUGGGUGAUAAGGUCCGUGUUCGAAAGGGAAACAGCCCAGACCACCAGCUAAGGUCCCAAAAUAUAUGUUAAGUGGAAAAGGAUGUGGCGUUGCCCAGACAACUAGGAUGUUGGCUUAGAAGCAGCCAUCAUUUAAAGAGUGCGUAAUAGCUCACUAGUCGAGUGACACUGCGCCGAAAAUGUACCGGGGCUAAACAUAUUACCGAAGCUGUGGAUUGUCCUUUGGACAAUGGUAGGAGAGCGUUCUAAGGGCGUUGAAGCAUGAUCGUAAGGACAUGUGGAGCGCUUAGAAGUGAGAAUGCCGGUGUGAGUAGCGAAAGACGGGUGAGAAUCCCGUCCACCGAUUGACUAAGGUUUCCAGAGGAAGGCUCGUCCGCUCUGGGUUAGUCGGGUCCUAAGCUGAGGCCGACAGGCGUAGGCGAUGGAUAACAGGUUGAUAUUCCUGUACCACCUAUAAUCGUUUUAAUCGAUGGGGGGACGCAGUAGGAUAGGCGAAGCGUGCGAUUGGAUUGCACGUCUAAGCAGUAAGGCUGAGUAUUAGGCAAAUCCGGUACUCGUUAAGGCUGAGCUGUGAUGGGGAGAAGACAUUGUGUCUUCGAGUCGUUGAUUUCACACUGCCGAGAAAAGCCUCUAGAUAGAAAAUAGGUGCCCGUACCGCAAACCGACACAGGUAGUCAAGAUGAGAAUUCUAAGGUGAGCGAGCGAACUCUCGUUAAGGAACUCGGCAAAAUGACCCCGUAACUUCGGGAGAAGGGGUGCUCUUUAGGGUUAACGCCCAGAAGAGCCGCAGUGAAUAGGCCCAAGCGACUGUUUAUCAAAAACACAGGUCUCUGCUAAACCGUAAGGUGAUGUAUAGGGGCUGACGCCUGCCCGGUGCUGGAAGGUUAAGAGGAGUGGUUAGCUUCUGCGAAGCUACGAAUCGAAGCCCCAGUAAACGGCGGCCGUAACUAUAACGGUCCUAAGGUAGCGAAAUUCCUUGUCGGGUAAGUUCCGACCCGCACGAAAGGCGUAACGAUUUGGGCACUGUCUCAACGAGAGACUCGGUGAAAUCAUAGUACCUGUGAAGAUGCAGGUUACCCGCGACAGGACGGAAAGACCCCGUGGAGCUUUACUGUAGCCUGAUAUUGAAAUUCGGCACAGCUUGUACAGGAUAGGUAGGAGCCUUUGAAACGUGAGCGCUAGCUUACGUGGAGGCGCUGGUGGGAUACUACCCUAGCUGUGUUGGCUUUCUAACCCGCACCACUUAUCGUGGUGGGAGACAGUGUCAGGCGGGCAGUUUGACUGGGGCGGUCGCCUCCUAAAAGGUAACGGAGGCGCUCAAAGGUUCCCUCAGAAUGGUUGGAAAUCAUUCAUAGAGUGUAAAGGCAUAAGGGAGCUUGACUGCGAGACCUACAAGUCGAGCAGGGUCGAAAGACGGACUUAGUGAUCCGGUGGUUCCGCAUGGAAGGGCCAUCGCUCAACGGAUAAAAGCUACCCCGGGGAUAACAGGCUUAUCUCCCCCAAGAGUUCACAUCGACGGGGAGGUUUGGCACCUCGAUGUCGGCUCAUCGCAUCCUGGGGCUGUAGUCGGUCCCAAGGGUUGGGCUGUUCGCCCAUUAAAGCGGUACGCGAGCUGGGUUCAGAACGUCGUGAGACAGUUCGGUCCCUAUCCGUCGUGGGCGUAGGAAAUUUGAGAGGAGCUGUCCUUAGUACGAGAGGACCGGGAUGGACAUACCUCUGGUGUACCAGUUGUCGUGCCAACGGCAUAGCUGGGUAGCUAUGUGUGGACGGGAUAAGUGCUGAAAGCAUCUAAGCAUGAAGCCCCCCUCAAGAUGAGAUUUCCCAACUUCGGUUAUAAGAUCCCUCAAAGAUGAUGAGGUUAAUAGGUUCGAGGUGGAAGCAUGGUGACAUGUGGAGCUGACGAAUACUAAUCGAUCGAAGACUUAAUCAA